GGCAGGUGGUAGGAGGCAGGGUCAGCACUGACGUCACAAUUGGGGGUUCGGUGAAUGAAUUAGCAGCUACUCAGCGUCACCUGGAGGAAACAGGUGAGAGCUGCGGAGGCCUGUGAACUGCACGGAAGACCGUCUGAAGAGGAAAACACUCAGAAGCUUUUGACACAAACAACCACCAUCUCUAUACACCUGCACCUGAACAACGACAUCAAGCGCGAGCUAACCGAGGAAACGACGGAGCGACAUCCAUGAUAAUGCGGUGGAGUCGCCUGGUCCACGUGAGCUGACCGCGGAGAGCGCGAGCAUUGCAUUGACAGCAUAUUACAUUUCGCUGCCUUUGCUUCUUACCGUCUUGGAGGACAAUGAGGGAGUGAGACUGAAAGCUGCCUUCAGCCUCGGGCAGACACAGAGAAGUGUAGGCCAGCAGGCUGUACUUGGCUCCACUGUUGCAGGAAUAAAGCACUCUGUCGGAUUUUCUUCCGUUUAAUCUCCAUCGCCACCGCUGAACCGGCCGAUAGUAACGACCCG